GAUGAAGAACGCAGCGAAAUGCGAUAAGUAAUGUGAAUUGCAGAAUUCAGUGAAUCAUCGAAUCUUUGAACGCACAUUGCGCCCCUUGGUAUUCCGAGGGGCAUGCCUGUUCGAGCGUCAUUAUAACCCCUCAAGCUCAGCUUGGUGUUGGGGCCUGCUGCACUGGCAGCCCUUAAAAUCAGUGGCGGCGCCAUCUGGCUCUAAGCGUAGUAAUUCUUCUCGCUAUGGAGUCCUGGUGGAUGCUUGCCAUCAACCCCCAAUUUUUCUAUGGUUGACCUAGGAUCAGGUAGGGAUACCCGCUGAACUUAAGCAUAUCAAUAAGCGGAGGA
rnacentral:misc_RNA from 1 species